GUGAAACGUCUCUCCUUCCCGUGACCCCUUCGCUAACGCCUCCGCCUUAAAGACUACACUCCCCAGUGACCCAGCAGUGACUCCUGCCUCCGGUGCCGGGCCCACCCCUCGACUGGCGGAAGUGAUGUGCCCGGAAUUCUGCACGCCCAGCCUGAGUCAGCUCUUGAGCACAAGAUCACGUCGUCUUUUGGGGUUAUGUUCAAAACCAUCACCUGGGGGCCGUAUCUUCAUCUCAGCUCUCCUGGUGACCUCCUACAAAUUUCCCUGCUUCGCUGGGCCAGGGGAGGGCAAGGUGGGCCCCUGGCUCCCGCACAUCCUCAAGCCAGCCACCCUGGGGAAGAGCUAACCUGCACAGCCUUACUCUGUGGUCCUGCUGGGCUCCAGUCAAAGCUCCUUUAACACCCACUCACUAGUGGAUUCGACACACACCUGCUGCCUUUGGAUCAGGGUUGAGCUCGGCCCACGUGCACACCUGCCCUCCCCUUAAACUGUUAAGCACAGAUUCCAAGAGAGCCUGGGAUUCUAAAACACCAUUUGAGGUCGGCGUGCGGGUACCAGUUCACACGGGCGGGAGCCGAACUCACCUCUGCCAUCACCCAGGUUUCCUGGGCUGCGGCACGUGGGGUCAGAGCCUCCAGGCACCUUCAGGUAGGAGACCAACACAGAGACAAAGCUGCUUCUGUAAUCGUGGCCCCUGUGUAGAAGUCUCCAGCAUCUCAUGACUGUGAGGAGCAGAGCCAGGAUUCAAACCCAGGUGCGCCCAGUUCCAGAGACGGCACAGAGCUGGGCCAGGAGAGUGGACUUGGUGCUCGGGCUGCCGUGGGAGCUCGUCGCCCACAGCAGAGGGGACAAGCCAGCAGCCUCGGGCUCCAGUGGUCCAAAGACAAGUCUUCCUUGGUGUGUGCUAUACUUAAAGUUUAUUUCCAAUUUGCUUUUUAUUGUGGGAAAAUACACAUAAAAUUUACCUUCUUAACUACUUUUAAGUGCACAGUUCAAUGGCAUUAAGUACACUCACAUUGUUGUGCAACCAUCUCCACUAUCUGUCUCCCAAACUCUUUUCCUCUUACAAAACCCUGUCCCCAUUAAACACUAACUCCCCAUUCCCCACUCCCCCAGCCCCUGGCAACCACAGUUCUACUUUCUACUGAAUUUCUAUGAAUUUUAUGAUUUUAAGUACCUUGUCUAAAUGGAAUGAUUUGUGGGCUUCCUUGGUGACUCAGUGGUAAAGAAUCCACCUGCCAAUGCAGGAAACGCGGGUUGGAUCCCUGGGUUGGGAAGAUCCCCUUGAGGAGGAAAUGGCAACCCACUCC